GGGCGUCGGUGCGGCCUGCGGAUCCCGGGAGAGCACCCCAGGAGCACAGUCCUGGAGGGGUUCACCGCCGACCAUCACUGAUGACCUGCCACUCCCCAAGGCCUGUCCAGAUCUCUGCACACCUGUGGAUAGGCCAGUCUGUGGAGGGUUCUCCUUCCCCUCCCUUCCAGGCUGCCGCCUUGGUCCUCCUCCCUUCAUCCUUGGUUUGGCAGGAGAACUCAGGGACCUCUGGGCACUUCUCGGCCCCCUCCCUUUGCCUCUUGUCUUCCACCUUCACAGCCGUGGGAGCAGCCCCAGUCAUCACUAGAGCCUUCACGAUGGCCCUAACAAGUUGAGGAGGUUGGAGGCCUUAGGCAGGGCCCUUCCUCCUUCUGGGUCUGGGCUUCCUUCCUGUCAAAAGAGAAAAAUGAGAAGCACAGCACCAGGCGGUUUUAGAAACAGCAAGAUGCAGUGUGCUCCAGAGCCGUGCAGAGGGCUCAGUACACGUGAGGCCCUCGGCCCCUGCCACUCUUCCUUCCUUUCUCCCUUGGGUGC
rnacentral:lncRNA from 1 species